CCUACGGGAGGCAGCAGUGGGGAAUUUUGGACAAUGGGCGCAAGCCUGAUCCAGCAAUGCCGCGUGCAGGAUGAAGGCCUUCGGGUUGUAAACUGCUUUUGUACGGAACGAAACGGUCUGCCCUAAUACGGUGGGCUAAUGACGGUACCGUAAGAAUAAGCACCGGCUAACUACGUGCCAGCAGCCGCGGUAAUACGUAGGGUGCAAGCGUUAAUCGGAAUUACUGGGCGUAAAGCGUGCGCAGGCGGUUAUAUAAGACAGAUGUGAAAUCCCCGGGCUCAACCUGGGACCUGCAUUUGUGACUGUAUAGCUAGAGUACGGUAGGGGGGGAUGGAAUUCCGCGUGUAGCAGUGAAAUGCGUAGAUAUGCGGAGGAACACCGAUGGCGAAGGCAAUCCCCUGGACCUGUACUGACGCUCAUGCACGAAGGCGUGGGGAGCAAACAGGAUUAGAUACCCUGGUAGUCCACGCCCUAAACGAUGUCAACUGGUUGUUGGGUCUUCACUGACUCAGUAACGAAGCUAACGCGUGAAGUUGACCGCCUGGGGAGUACGGCCGCAAGGUUGAAACUCAAAUGAAUUGACCGGNNGAGAGNGCGAGACGACACGAGGGAGGAGG
rnacentral:rRNA from 1 species